rnacentral:rRNA from 1 species
AGAGCGAACGUUUGCGGCGGGCCUAACACAUGCAAGUCGAACGCACUAGCAAUAGUGAGUGGCGCACGGGUGCGUAACACGUGGGUAAUCAACCCUUCAGCCUGGGAUAACGACUCGAAAGGGUCGCUAAUACCGCAUACGUCCUACGGGAGAAAGGGGGGGAUCUUCGGACCUCUCGCUAAUAGAUGAGCCUAGGCCGGAUUAGCUAGUUGGUGAGGUAAAGGCUCACCAAGGCGACGAUCCGUAGCUGGUCUGAGAGGACGACCAGCCACACUGGGACUGAGACACGGCCCAGACUCCUACGGGAGGCAGCAGUGGGGAAUUUUGGACAAUGGGGGCAACCCUGAUCCAGCCAUUCCGCGUGAGUGAAGAAGGCCUUCGGGUUGUAAAGCUCUUUCGGCAGGAACGAAACGGCGGGCUCUAACAUAGCCUGCUAAUGACGGUACCUGAAGAAGAAGCACCGGCUAACUACGUG